rnacentral:rRNA from 1 species
AUGUAAGGGUUUGCGUGAAAAUUUAUUUAUUUGAAUAGUAAUUAAUGUUUAUUGUAGCCGCAGUAAUUAAUAUUAUUAAUAGGGGGAACCUUGAAAUAGUGAUUCUAUUUAGUAUUGGCUAAAUUUGUGCCAGCAGCCGCGGUUAUACUUAUAAUACAAAUAAAUUAUAAUUAGUAAAAGUAAAAUUUUUUUAAGAUAAAAUAUUGAUUUAUCUAUUAGGUGAAAUUUUGGGUGGAUAGAUUUUUUUAGUUUGACUAGUUGAAGCUUAUAAAUUUUAAUUAAAGACUAGGAUUAGAUACCCUAUUAUUUAAAAUGUAAAUUUCUUACUAAGGUAGUAAUAGUUAUUUUCUAGAAACUUAAAAAAUUUGGCGGUAUUUUAGUCUAUUCGGAGGAACUUGUUCUGUAAUCGAUAAUCCACGAUGGACCUUACUUAUAUUUGUAUUUCAGUUUAUAUACCGUCGUUAUUAGAAUAUUUUAUUAGAACAAUAAUUUUCUAGUUUUUUAAGGAAAAUAUAUAUCAGAUCAAGAUGUAGCUAAUAUUUAAGUAGAAAUGAGUUACAAUAAAUUUAUUUAAACGGAGUUAAAUUUGAAAAGUUUAAUAAAGGUGGAUUUGAUAGUAAAAUUAUAUAGAUUAUUAAUUUGAUUUUAGCUCUAAGAUAUGCACACAUCGCCCGUCGCUCUUAUUAUUAAGGUAAGAUAAGUCGUAACAUAGUAGAUGUA